rnacentral:rRNA from 1 species
UACGUAGGGGGCGAGCGUUGGUCGGAAUUACUGGGCGUAAAGGGCGCGUAGGCGGCCUUCUAAGUCGGACGUGAAAUCCCCAGGCUUAACUUGGGAACUGCGUCCGAUACUGGAGGGCUUGAGUGCGGGAGAGGGAUGUGGAAUUCCAGGUGUAGCGGUGAAAUGCGUAGAUAUCUGGAGGAACACCGGUGGCGAAGGCGGCAUCCUGGACCGACACUGACGCUGAUGCGCGAAAGCCAGGGGAGCAAACGGG